UUUACGUUCGACGAGCGAUGACAGCUGAGUAGUUCAACAAUUAAUGUCUGGUUUGAACAUGAUCCACAACGACUCUUCUUAUAAAAUGUGGCUGUUCAUAAGUCUUGAAGAUUACUCCAAAGCUAAUAAUCAUGCAUACACUCCUUGGUGACUGGUAGGGAGUGAAAACUGAUCGUAGAUGUGUUUAUGUUUUCCUUCGUCGUGUGCGCACAGUCACAGUGUGCUGCCAGCAGUGCCAGCGAGUGUGGACGACUGACACAUUAUGACAUACAGGCAGGACGACGAUGUUUUGGUGGCAUUGGCAACUUCAUCAUGUCCUCACAUAAUGACAGACUUUGACAAGUAGCUGGAUAGAUGUAGAUGUCUAUGGAGGAUCCUCUUCCGAGAAAGAUCAAAUUAUCCCCAGGUUACCUCAAGGAGUGGACCUGCGAGCUUAUUUUUGUAUGCUGGUCAACUCUGUGUGCUGACUGCUGAGUGCAUCAUCUAAGAUGGAAAAUGACACUAGGAAAAUUGCCUACCAGUCAACCAGCAUUUCUCCAACAUGGAUGCUUAGUUUCAUCUCUGAGUUGUGACAUGGAGGCUGGGAGAACUGCCUACCAGUCAACCAGCACCUCUUCACCAUGGAUGCUUAGUUUCAUCUCUGAGUUGUGACAUUGAGGAUGGGAGAACUGCCUAACAGUCAACCAGCAUCUCUUCACCAUGGAUUCUCAUUUGCUGAGUUUCAUUUCUGAGUUGAGAAUUUUAAAGUGUGCUGUUGUUCCUGGUCAAGGUCAAUCAAGCGUCGUGCUACUUACUGUGCGAACAUCUUCAUUACAUCUUAAACAUGUGUGCUGUUGUUCCUGGUCAAGGUCAAUCAAGCGUCAUGCUACUUACUGUGUGAACAUCUUCAUUACAUCUUAAACAUGGUCAGCUCCAAUUCUUAGAUGGGCUGUGAUGAUUGAUUCCAUUGGUUGACAUCUGCUUGUGAUUCCUUUGUGGGGCAACAACAUCUGUUUCCUACAUGGACAGCAAUGGCUGAUUCCUACAUGGACAGCAAUGGCUGAUUCCUACAUGGACAGCAAUGGCUGAUUCCUACAUGGAUAGUGGACAGUAACAUUUGGACUCCUACAUUGGCAGCAACUUCUGAUUCCUACAUGGACAGCAACAUCUGAUUCCUACAUUGGCAGCAACUUCUGAUUCCUACAUGGACAGACAUCUGAUUCCUACAUGGACAGCAACAUCUGAUUCCUACAUUGACAGCAAUGUCGAAUUCAUGCAUGGACAGUAAUGUUUUGAUUCCAGGCUACGUGGACAGAAACAUUCUGAUUCCUACAUGGACAGCAAAGUUAGUAACGCCUGAUUCCUACGUGGACAGUAACUUCUGACUCCUACAUGGACAAUGUUUGUGCACAUCUGAUUUGUGCAAAUUUUGUAGGAAAGAGAAUCUUAGUCAAGAAAAAGAACAAUUUGAGAUUAAAGGCUGUGUCACACGGGGGAAUUUACAGGCAACUAGUUCCAGGCAAUCUUUAAAAAGAAAAUUCAUUCGCAUUUCAGUUCCUACUAUUUCCUAGGGGGAUUGUGAUUUACAUGAAAAAUGUAUAUUUAUACUGCCAAAGUGUUCCUUGUGCAUGGUUGCCUCCAAGUUGCCUGUAAAAUGUUCCCAGUGUGACAACCUUAAUUGUUGUUACUUAAAGGCACUGGACACAUUUGGUCAUUGUCAAAGACCAGUAUUCUCAAAUAUAUGCAUCAAAUAACAAACCUGUACAAAUUUUGACUCAAUUGGUCAUCAAAGUUGCCAGAAAAUAAUAAAAGAAAAACGCCCUUCUUGCAUGCACCAAGUUUAUGUGCUUAGUUGGUAAAAGGCUUCAGUCCUAAAGUCUUUAUUAUUUGAGUGGGAAAUUACCUUUUUUCUCAAAAACUACAUCAAUU